rnacentral:misc_RNA from 1 species
AUGAGGCAACCAGUCGCGUC